AGUGAACGCUGGCGGUAGGCCUAUCACAUGCAAGUCGAACGGCAGCACAGUAAGAGCUUGCUCUUACGGGUGGCGAGUGGCGGACGGGUGAGGAAUACAUCGGAAUCUACUUUUUCGUGGGGGAUAACGUAGGGAAACUUACGCUAAUACCGCAUACGACCUACGGGUGAAAGCAGGGGAUCUUCGGACCUUGCGCGAUCGAAUGAGCCGAUGUCGGAUUAGCUAGUUGGCGGGGUAAAGGCCCACCAAGGCGACGAUCCGUAGCUGGUCUGCGAGGAUGAUCAGCCACACUGGAACUGAGACACGGUCCAGACUCCUACGGGAGGCAGCAGUGGGGAAUAUUGGACAAUGGGCGCAAGCCUGAUCCAGCCAUACCGCGUGGGUGAAGAAGGCCUUCGGGUUGUAAAGCCCUUUUGUUGGGAAAGAAAAGCAGCAGGUUAAUACCCCGCUGUUCUGACGGUACCCAAAGAAUAAGCACCGGCUAACUUCGUG
rnacentral:rRNA from 1 species